rnacentral:rRNA from 1 species
AACGAACGCUGGCGGCGUGCCUAACACAUGCAAGUCGAACGAGAAAGGGGCUUCGGCUCCGAGUAAAGUGGCGCACGGGUGAGUAACACGUGGGUAACCUGCCUCUAAGAUUGGGAUAACUCGUCGAAAGAUGAGCUAAUACCGAAUAAGACCACAGUUCCCGCGGGAACAGGGGUCAAAGGUAGCCUCUGCUUGCAAGCUAUCACUUAGAGAUGGGCCUGCGCACCAUUAGCUAGUUGGUAGGGUAACGGCCUACCAAGGCAAAGAUGGUUAGCUGGUCUGAGAGGAUGAUCAGCCACACUGGAACGGAGACACGGUCCAGACGCCUACGGGAGGCAGCAGGGGGGAAUAGUGCGCAAGGGGCGAAAGCUUGACGCAGCAACGCCGCGUGAGUGAUGAAGGCCGUCGGGUCGUAAAGCCCGGUCGGGAGGAACGAAUGCUCCUGAGGUUAACAGCCUCGGGAGGUGACGGUACCUUCAAAGGAAGCACCGGCUAACUCUGUG